rnacentral:rRNA from 1 species
GACGAACGCUGGCGGCGUGCUUAACACAUGCCAGUCGAACGGAAAGGCCCUGCUUGCAGGGUACUCGAGUGGCGAACGGGUGAGUAACACGUGGGUGAUCUGCCCUGCACUUCGGGAUAAGCUUGGGAAACUGGGUCUAAUACCGGAUAGGAGCCAUCUUUAGUGUGGUGGUUGGAAAGUUUUUUCGGUGUAGGAUGAGCUCGCGGCCUAUCAGCUUGUUGGUGGGGUAAUGGCCUACCAAGGCGGCGACGGGUAGCCGGCCUGAGAGGGUGUACGGCCACAUUGGGACUGAGAUACGGCCCAGACUCCUACGGGAGGCAGCAGUGGGGAAUAUUGCACAAUGGGCGCAAGCCUGAUGCAGCGACGCCGCGUGGGGGAUGAAGGCCUUCGGGUUGUAAACUCCUGUCGCUAGGGACGAAGCUUUGUUGUGACGGUACCUAGAUAAGAAGCACCGGCUAACUACGUG